GACGGAGGGUGCAAGCGUUGUUCGGAUUGACUGGGCGUAAAGGGCGUGUAGGCGGUUGGUCAAGUCUGAUGUGAAAGCCCGGGGCUCAGCUUCGGAAGGGCAUCGGAAACUAGCCAGCUGGAGCGCGAUAGAGGAGGGCGGAAUUCCUGGUGUAGCGGUGAAAUGCGUAGAUAUCAGGAGGAACACCGGCGGCGAAGGCGGCCCUCUGGAUCGUUGCUGACGCUGAGACGCGAAAGCGUGGGGAG
rnacentral:rRNA from 1 species